rnacentral:lncRNA from 1 species
GGAGAGGAUAUGCAUUGCACCUUAACUAUUUUCACAGGAUUAUGAAGCAGCUUGCGCUGAAGAUGAAUUGGGAUAAUCAGAACAGGCAUCCCACUGGAUUGAGUUAUUGGAACAUUGCUGCAUCUGACUGAGGCCUCAGGAGGAUUUAUAUCUCCAAGAAUAGAGUCCUGUGAAAAGCCUAGAGCAGUUCCUGGUUUCUGCUCAUGUUCUUGGGCUGAGAAGUAAAUUCACAUUCUACCGCAUCUUUCUUCACUCCCAUAGGGAAGAUGUUCCUUUUCCUUGGUAUGUCACAGCAAUACCAUAGAAAAAAAAGACUUAACUGGAGAGUGUAACCACUCCAGAGCAAUUUUCCAACUAUUUUAUAAAGCUUCAUGGACAUCAAGGAACUUGAGAACUUUCUUCUAAGACUGUUCCUACACCAGUAGGUACAAAGUGAUCUAAGA